GCAGGUAUUACUCAGUGGUAGAGCACUUGCCUAGCAAGUUUGAGGCUCUGGGUUCAAUUCCCAAUACCAGAA
rnacentral:tRNA from 1 species